rnacentral:rRNA from 1 species
UACAGAGGGGGCAAGCGUUAUUCGGAAUUAUUGGGCGUAAAGGGCGCGUAGGCGGCCUGGCAAGUGGAAGGUGAAAUCCCUCGGCUUAACCGAGGAACUGCCCUCCAAACUGCUUGGCUUGAGUCCGGGAGAGGUGAGUGGAAUUCCCAGUGUAGCGGUGAAAUGCGUAGAUAUCGGGAGGAACACCUGUGGCGAAAGCGGCGCACUGGACCACAACUGACGCUGAGGCGCGAAAGCGUGGGGAGCGAACAGG